rnacentral:sRNA from 1 species
ACACUUGCAGUGUCCAGAGGAACGCACACAUUCUCUAGCAAGGUAAAACGAAGAAAUAUACACUAUGCAGAAAUUGGUUGCCGUUUUGCUUAUUCUUUCUGUUCUUCUGAUGACAAUGGACGUCUCAGAGGGCUUUUUAAGGAAAUGGAUAAAGUGUAAAAAAUGUAAGGCUACUUGUCAGUUCAAGUAUGUUAAGUGCAAGGCCAACCCUUUCAAGAAUGGAUGUGGUUUCAAGAGGAAAUUGUGCAAAAGGAAGUGUAAAUGCUAAAAGAGACAGAGAUGGUGGGACUCGACCGAUAUUCAUGAGGCUAAUUGUAGUCAUUUAUAUGUGGCUGUUGUCCAACUAGUCGUGAUCUAUUGAUAUUUGAAAUAAAAUAUGAAAGCAAGAAUUAGAAACUCAUUCCUUGAACAUGUAGCAAAUGAUGGGGUUAUUGCUGUUAUAAUGAAAGAUACGUGCAUUUACAGCAAGACUUACACUUUUUAAGACACUUCAUCACUGGAUGGCGAUUGAUAUGUUUGUUAAAUUGUUUAAAGUCUGUCCCAAGAUAUUUAUGCAGCACAUUUGGACGAUUUUUAUUAAAAAUACACAUACCUGUGAAAGAAGUGAAAUUGAAAUAGUUGAACGGGAUAUUUUCCAAGAUAAUUUCAUUGGCACAUUAUCAACUUUCACUCAGAAAAAUUCACAGGAACGAAAACAGAUUCCUUACGGAGAUUUAUAAUGGUAAAUGUUUACAUCUUUUCUCCAUUCGGAAUACACUCGGAAUACAUCGCGCUAUUUUUCAACGUUAUCAUCCGGGCUUGCUGCAAUACUAAAUCUUCGUAGACAUCACAUUUUUUAGCAUUAUAUUAAAACCUGAUAAGCUAACAGGGGCGUUUUGAUUGAGAAAUUUUGGAAAUUUUUCAUACUUUUGAAUGAACAUCGUUUGAAUCCUGAGGUAUUUAUAAAUAUCAAGCAAUUAAGCCAAAUGUGAAUCCAGAAUAUCUUGGGACAGAGUGUAAAUAAGAAAAUUUCUUAUGGUUUGCCUAUUGCACCUAAGAUUUACUUCAUAUGCAUCAUGUUAUCUAUCAUUUAAACAUGAAAAUGUUUUUUAUGAUUCUUGCGGGAUAUUAAAAUAGCGAAUUGCCAAAUUUUUUU